rnacentral:rRNA from 1 species
AACGAACGCUGGCGGCGUGGAUAAGACAUGCAAGUCGAGCGCUGGCUACAGGGUAGCAAUAUUCUGUAGUUGGAGCGGCGCAAGGGUGCGUAACACGUGGGUAAUUUGCCAUAAAGUCUGGAAUAACUUGCUGAAAGGCGAGCUAAUACCGGAUGUGAAUAUUGGGAGGCAUCUUUUGAUAUUCAAAGUUGGGGAUCGUAAGACCUGACGCUUUAUGAUAAGCCCGCGGCCUAUCAGCUAGUUGGUGAGGUAACGGCUCACCAAGGCUAAGACGGGUAGCUGGUCUGAGAGGACGACCAGCCACACUGGAACUGAGACACGGUCCAGACACCUACGGGAGGCUG